rnacentral:misc_RNA from 1 species
GGAAGUAAAAUCGUAACAAGGUUUCCGUAGGUGAACCUGCGGAAGGAUCAUUAUUGUAUAACCGAGGUGCGAGGGCUGUCGCUGACCCGAAAGGUCGUGCACGCCCGAGUGCCCUCACACACAUCCAUCUCACCCCUAUGUGCACCACCGCGUGGGUCCCCCUUUGGCUUGUUCGGAGGGGGGCUUACGUUUUCACACAAACUUUGUAUGCAGUGUAGAAUGUAUCUUUUGUUUUUGCGAUCACGCAAUCAAUACAACUUUCAACAACGGAUCUCUUGGCUCUC